GGGAAAUGAGUUUGAACUGAAAAA
rnacentral:piRNA from 1 species